UACCAGCUCCCCGAGUGGUUGGGACGUUUAUUGGGCCUAAAGCAUCCGUAGCCUGUCUUGUAGGUCUUCUGUUAAAUUCAAUAGCUCAACUAUUGAGCCGCAGUAGAUACCGCAGGACUAGGAGGCGGGGGAGGUGGACGGUACUCAAUGGGUAGGGGUAAAAUCCUUUGAUCCAUUGAAGACCACCAGUGGCGAAGGCGGUCCACCACAACGCGCUCGACGGUGAGGGAUGAAAGCUGGGGGAGCGAACCGGAUUAGAUACCCGGGUAGUCCCAGCUGUAAACGAUGUGAGCUAGGUGAUGGGGUGGCUACGGGCCAUCCCAGUGCCCCAGGGAAGCCGUUAAGCUCACCGCCUGGGAAGUACGGCCGCAAGGCUGAAACUUAAAGGAAUUGGCGGGGGAGCACCACAAGGGGUGAAGCCUGCGGUUC
rnacentral:rRNA from 1 species